rnacentral:lncRNA from 1 species
AGAGAGAGGCAGAAAGGCAGUAGACAGGGAGAGAGAGGAAGGGAAUAAAACAGCAACACAGAGAGUGAUGAGGCAGAGACCCACAGGGAUGGAGACAGAGACACGGGAGAGAUGGUGAGACACAGAAAGAUUGAGAUUGAGAAGGAAGACUUGGUAAAGGGAGACCCUGGGACAGACUCAGAGGCUGAGAGAGACCAAGACUGAGAGACAGCAGAAGAAACAGAGAUGGCUCCUGUGAGGCUGGCUGGAAGGGGCAGCCAAGAUGUCCUGGGCUCCAUCAGACACUGAUGAUUCCAUUCCGUGUCAUGCUCACUCGAACCCUGCAAGAUUCCACCCUGACCUCAGCCCUGCUAAAUCCUGGCAACUUACCUGGGAGAUGCUACUUCCCGACUGUGUGUCCUUGAACAAGUCAUUCGAUCUCUCUCAUCUUCCGUUUUCUCAUCUGCAAAGAGUCGGCAAUGACUCAUUGGGUCAUUGUGAG